GAUGGCUUACGUUAUACUGUCAAGCACUUGAAUAGUCGAGCGUGCUGUCCUCUGACAGCUCUUGUUAGCUCACCUAAGCACAAUGUGCACAUGGUAAGCCUUUUUUGAAAAACUUUUUUAUCAUUAUUAUAUCAGUCCAACAGUUUACUUCUAAGCUGAAAAUUGUGAUUUAGGUGGUGGCAUCAUUUGUUAACACAACCUUUAAUAGUAAAGAUUUCAGCAAAUUAUGAUAAUCGUGAUGCAAUAUUUUUCUUAACUUUUUUGUUGCAAGCAAUCAGUCUUUUAAAUUGUUUUUAUACGCCCGUAUAAAAUACGGGACGUAUAAUGUGAAACCCCUUGGCGGGCGGGCGGCGGGCGGAAGGCAUCACUUUGUCCGGACUCUAAUUCAAAUUGUAUUCAUCCGAUCUUCACCAAACUUGGUCAGCAGUUGCAUCUAGUUGAUAUCUAGGCCAAGUUCGAAUAUGGGUCAUGCCGGGUCAAAAACUAGGUCAUAGGGUCAAUUAGUGCAUUUUCAACGGCGCCACUUUGUCCGGACUCUAAUUCAAAUUGUAUUCAUCCGAUCUUCACCAAACUUGGUCAGUAGUUGCAUCUAGUUGAUAUCUAGGUCAAGUCCGAAUAUGGGUCAUGCUGGGUCAAAAACU